AUGGUGCGCGCGUCUCGGACUCCCGGCCCCGCAGCUGAGGGGCGGCGGGCGCGCUCCCGACACAGCCGACGCCUGUCGAGCGCGCAGCGGCGAGAACCUCGCUCUCCCGGUCGCGCACUCCGGGCCGACGGGGCGGACGGGCUCCAAGGCGCGCGGGUUCCUGGAGUUCGAGUCUCUCCUCUGCAGGCCGGUGAACCUGAACAGAACGCCAGCCGGGGCGGCGGGCGCGCCGGCCUCCUUUCAGGGCGCCCGCCUAGUCUUCAGGGGUGCCGUCUCGCUAGCCGCCUCAGCAGCGCUCGGACUCUGCGGGAUUCUGCCCCGACUCGGAGCAGCAGCCGCGGUCCCUUGCGCUCCGCCCCCUAGGGACAAGACCUCCCUAGAGCGCUUUCCGAAACAGACACAGCGCGGCUCACGCACACACACAGACACAAUGCCCCGCGCGGUGCCCACUCUCGCUCGCCCGCCCUCGGUUUCGGUGCGACCGGGCGUUCCUCCUUCCCCUCCUAGGGGGAGGGUGGGUCACUUCUUGGCUCACGAGGAACACCGUGGACAGGGGAAACCGCGAGCCGCCCGCGGGCAGCCGGCGCGGGGCUGGUCCCGGGUCACAGAGGGAGCCGCAGGGUUGGCGGCGAAGCGCCGGGCGUCUCUGAGCCGCGGGCGCAGGGAGGUCGCAGGUCGAGCCGGAGGGUGGGUCCGCUCUCGCGGCCGCCGAAGAGGGCGGGGAGCGGCGGAGGAACAAGGCACUGAGCGGCUUGGCUCCUGGGAGGGAUCCCGCUGUCCCGUCCCCUCGCGCUCCUCCCCCGCCGCCUCCCCCACCCCGGGGCGCGCGGCAGGUUCUGAGCGGCUCGGCCCGAGAUCCCGAUCUCUCCCUCUCCCGGCCUCCGAGCUCCCUCUUCCUCCCUUUCCUCCUCCCCUUCCCACGUUCAGGCCCGGCUCCGGUUUCUGCCCAGACUUUCUCUGA